rnacentral:rRNA from 2 species
UUAAGCGACUAAGCGUACACGGUGGAUGCCCUGGCAGUCAGAGGCGAUGAAGGACGUGCUAAUCUGCGAUAAGCGUCGGUAAGGUGAUAUGAACCGUUAUAACCGGCGAUUUCCGAAUGGGGAAACCCAGUGUGAUUUGUCACACUAUUAUUAACUGAAUCCAUAGGUUAAUGAGGCGAACCGGGGGAACUGAAACAUCUAAGUACCCCGAGGAAAAGAAAUCAACCGAGAUUCCCCCAGUAGCGGCGAGCGAACGGGGAGGAGCCCAGAGCCUGAAUCAGUGUGUGUGUUAGUGGAAGCGUCUGGAAAGGCGCGCGAUACAGGGUGACAGCCCCGUACACAAAAAUGCACAUACUGUGAGCUCGAUGAGUAGGGCGGGACACGUGGUAUCCUGUCUGAAUAUGGGGGGACCAUCCUCCAAGGCUAAAUACUCCUGACUGACCGAUAGUGAACCAGUACCGUGAGGGAAAGGCGAAAAGAACCCCGGCGAGGGGAGUGAAAAAGAACCUGAAACCGUGUACGUACAAGCAGUGGGAGCCUCUUUUAUGGGGUGACUGCGUACCUUUUGUAUAAUGGGUCAGCGACUUAUAUUCUGUAGCAAGGUUAACCGAAUAGGGGAGCCGAAGGGAAACCGAGUCUUAACUGGGCGUUAAGUUGCAGGGUAUAGACCCGAAACCCGGUGAUCUAGCCAUGGGCAGGUUGAAGGUUGGGUAACACUAACUGGAGGACCGAACCGACUAAUGUUGAAAAAUUAGCGGAUGACUUGUGGCUGGGGGUGAAAGGCCAAUCAAACCGGGAGAUAGCUGGUUCUCCCCGAAAGCUAUUUAGGUAGCGCCUCGUGAAUUCAUCUCCGGGGGUAGAGCACUGUUUCGGCAAGGGGGUCAUCCCGACUUACCAACCCGAUGCAAACUGCGAAUACCGGAGAAUGUUAUCACGGGAGACACACGGCGGGUGCUAACGUCCGUCGUGAAGAGGGAAACAACCCAGACCGCCAGCUAAGGUCCCAAAGUCAUGGUUAAGUGGGAAACGAUGUGGGAAGGCCCAGACAGCCAGGAUGUUGGCUUAGAAGCAGCCAUCAUUUAAAGAAAGCGUAAUAGCUCACUGGUCGAGUCGGCCUGCGCGGAAGAUGUAACGGGGCUAAACCAUGCACCGAAGCUGCGGCAGCGACACUGUGUGUUGUUGGGUAGGGGAGCGUUCUGUAAGCCUGCGAAGGUGUGCUGUGAGGCAUGCUGGAGGUAUCAGAAGUGCGAAUGCUGACAUAAGUAACGAUAAAGCGGGUGAAAAGCCCGCUCGCCGGAAGACCAAGGGUUCCUGUCCAACGUUAAUCGGGGCAGGGUGAGUCGACCCCUAAGGCGAGGCCGAAAGGCGUAGUCGAUGGGAAACAGGUUAAUAUUCCUGUACUUGGUGUUACUGCGAAGGGGGGACGGAGAAGGCUAUGUUGGCCGGGCGACGGUUGUCCCGGUUUAAGCGUGUAGGCUGGUUUUCCAGGCAAAUCCGGAAAAUCAAGGCUGAGGCGUGAUGACGAGGCACUACGGUGCUGAAGCAACAAAUGCCCUGCUUCCAGGAAAAGCCUCUAAGCAUCAGGUAACAUCAAAUCGUACCCCAAACCGACACAGGUGGUCAGGUAGAGAAUACCAAGGCGCUUGAGAGAACUCGGGUGAAGGAACUAGGCAAAAUGGUGCCGUAACUUCGGGAGAAGGCACGCUGAUACGUAGGUGAAGUCCCUCGCGGAUGGAGCUGAAAUCAGUCGAAGAUACCAGCUGGCUGCAACUGUUUAUUAAAAACACAGCACUGUGCAAACACGAAAGUGGACGUAUACGGUGUGACGCCUGCCCGGUGCCGGAAGGUUAAUUGAUGGGGUCAGCGCAAGCGAAGCUCUUGAUCGAAGCCCCGGUAAACGGCGGCCGUAACUAUAACGGUCCUAAGGUAGCGAAAUUCCUUGUCGGGUAAGUUCCGACCUGCACGAAUGGCGUAAUGAUGGCCAGGCUGUCUCCACCCGAGACUCAGUGAAAUUGAACUCGCUGUGAAGAUGCAGUGUACCCGCGGCAAGACGGAAAGACCCCGUGAACCUUUACUAUAGCUUGACACUGAACAUUGAGCCUUGAUGUGUAGGAUAGGUGGGAGGCUUUGAAGUGUGGACGCCAGUCUGCAUGGAGCCGACCUUGAAAUACCACCCUUUAAUGUUUGAUGUUCUAACGUGGACCCGUGAUCCGGGUUGCGGACAGUGUCUGGUGGGUAGUUUGACUGGGGCGGUCUCCUCCUAAAGAGUAACGGAGGAGCACGAAGGUUGGCUAAUCCUGGUCGGACAUCAGGAGGUUAGUGCAAUGGCAUAAGCCAGCUUGACUGCGAGCGUGACGGCGCGAGCAGGUGCGAAAGCAGGUCAUAGUGAUCCGGUGGUUCUGAAUGGAAGGGCCAUCGCUCAACGGAUAAAAGGUACUCCGGGGAUAACAGGCUGAUACCGCCCAAGAGUUCAUAUCGACGGCGGUGUUUGGCACCUCGAUGUCGGCUCAUCACAUCCUGGGGCUGAAGUAGGUCCCAAGGGUAUGGCUGUUCGCCAUUUAAAGUGGUACGCGAGCUGGGUUUAGAACGUCGUGAGACAGUUCGGUCCCUAUCUGCCGUGGGCGCUGGAGAACUGAGGGGGGCUGCUCCUAGUACGAGAGGACCGGAGUGGACGCAUCACUGGUGUUCGGGUUGUCAUGCCAAUGGCACUGCCCGGUAGCUAAAUGCGGAAGAGAUAAGUGCUGAAAGCAUCUAAGCACGAAACUUGCCCCGAGAUGAGUUCUCCCUGACUCCUUGAGAGUCCUGAAGGAACGUUGAAGACGACGACGUUGAUAGGCCGGGUGUGUAAGCGCAGCGAUGCGUUGAGCUAACCGGUACUAAUGAACCGUGAGGCUUAACCUU